rnacentral:rRNA from 1 species
GGAAUAUUGGACAAUGGCCGGGAGGCUGAUCCAGCCAUGCCGCGUGAGGGAGGACGGCCCUAUGGGUUGUAAACCUCUUUUGUCGGGGAGCAAUAAGUAUUACGUGUAAUACGAUGAGAGUACCUGGCGAAUAAGCAUCGGCUAACUCCGUGCCAGCAGCCGCGGUAAUACGGAGGAUGCAAGCGUUAUCCGGAUUUAUUGGGUUUAAAGGGUGCGUAGGCGGCUUGUUAAGCGUGAGGUGAAAUGCCGGAGCUCAACCCCGGAACUGCCUCGCGAACUGGCGAGCUUGAAUUCUCCUGCCGUGGGAGGAAUGUGUGGUGUAGCGGUGAAAUGCAUAGAGAUCACACAGAACACCGAUUGCGAAGGCAUCUCACGAAGGGGCGAUUGACGCUGAGGCACGAAAGCGUGGGGAUCAAACA